CUACUUCAAAACUACCCCGACACCAGGCUGCUCCUCAAGCCCACUCUCCACUUAAUGGAAGGAAGUUAGGUCAUUGGGGGUGCCCUUGAGGGAGCCACUGGGAUCCCGCCCCUUCCUGUCUCUCUUUGCUUCCCAGACACCAUGAGGUAAGCCGCUUUGCUCUGCUGCACACUCCUCACCAUGAUGUUCUGCUUGGCUACAGGCUCAAAAGACAUGAGGCAAAACGGACCAUGGACUGAAACUUCUGAAAUCGUGAGCCAAAAUAAUACUUUCCUCCUUAUAAGUUGGUCUAUCUCAGGUUUUGUCACAGUGAGGGAAAGUCCUGGUCACGACUGCAGCAGUGCUCAGCUUGUGUUUUUGCCGUGUACUGCGCUGUUGGCGAUUCCUCCCCUCUAGCCUUUUGCUCAAGCUGUUCCCUUUGCCUAAAAUGCCUUCUCCGCCCACCCCACCCUCUGGCUCUCUCUCCCUUUGCCUAUUUUCUACUCACUCUUGAAAACACUGCUUAGAUAUCACCUCAAAGAAAUCUAGCCUUCUCACACUGUGAGCCUCUCCCCUUCCAUCUCAGGCCAAGGCAGUGAUCUUCCCUCUGCUCCCACCACUCUGUGAACAAAAUAGCCAUUUAUUAAAUAUAUUACUAUAACCAUCCUUACUCUUAUUACAUUUUAUUGUAAUUUGCAAUGUGUUUGUUGUCCUUCUUUAGAAUGUUAGCUCAUUCACUCUUUUUUUUUUUUUUUCAAUACUUGGAUUUGCCCAGGGGUGCCCUGUCAUUGAGCUACAUCCCCAGUUCUUUUUAUUUUUUAUUUGGAGACAGGGUCUAAGUUAUCCAGGCUGGCCUUGAAUUUGCAAUUCUCUUGCCUUAGCGUCCUGAGUAGCUAGGAUUAAAGGCCUUCUCUUAAAAGUAGCAUAUGAAAAAGUCAAAACCCAAUAGGAAAAACACAAGAAACAGAGCUAAUGUAUAGCUGAGUGGUAGAGAGCCUGCCUAGCAUGCAUGAGGCCUUGGGUUCAGUUUCAAGUACCUUAAAGUGCGCACACACACACACACAAAAGCGAUAAAGCUACACAGAUCAUAAAGUCAUAAAAAUAAUACUAAUAGCCCUUAAACAUAUGAGAUUUUCAACGAUAUUGAUAAGAGAAAUGUUGGUUACUUUGCUUCCAUUUCUUACCUAUCACAUUGGCAAAGUCAGAAAAGUUUGACAAUAUAUUCUACCGGUGAAAAUAGGCAAAUUGCCAUUCUUAGGUAUUGUGGAUAUAACUACAAAGUGGUAUAGCCAUUGGUGGGGAGUUAGCAAUACUGAGUAAAAUUAUAUAUGUCUUUCCAAUUUAUAUAUGCAAUAUCCCUCUUAGAAGUCUAUUCCAAAGAUGUCUGCAAAAAAUAUGAGACUGCAGAAAGCUAUAUUUUGUAGCACUAUUUAAAAUAACGAAAAAUUGGAAAUACCUCAAAUGAUAAUUAGUAGUGGACUGGUUAAAUAAAUUAUAGUAAAUGCAUAGAAUUAAGCAUUUUGUACAGAUGAGAGAGAAUUCUUUACAUAAUGCUACAGAGUGAUCUCCAAUGUAUUAAAAGAAAAAAAAACAAGGUAGAAAAAGUUUGUUCCACCAUUUCUUUAAGAAAAGUGAGGAUAUGAUCAUAAAUGCAUAUGUGGCUAUAUUUUUUGAAAUAUUAUAAGAAAAAGGAGAGCAAAUGGAGUUAACAAGGAUAAACACUAGAUUUCUCUAAAUAUCUUUUAUUUGAGGAUUUUACUUAUAAACAACGUAAAUAUUUUCCUUAAUUGUAAAAUUAUUUUUUAAGUUUCUAAAACAAUGAAACAGAAGAAACCCAAAUGAAUCGAAAUAUGUAUUGAGUUGGUGGAAUAUUCUUGUAGAGAAAAACUAAUUCUGGUUUCUCUCCUCUAUUUCUUUUAGCUUUUUUCUCUUUUUGCUCUCAGAAUUGCUAACCCUAAGCCUGUGAAGCUGAAGACUACACUUCCCAUUAUGGGUUACUGAUGAAAGGUUAAAGAAAUUGAAAUGUAAAAGAUAAGAUUUGUUUCAAGUUCUGUAAAGUUUUUAAGUUCUAUUAAGUUGUAUUUGGAACCUGAAAUUCAUGUGGAAGUUUAAAACAACUCCCGGAAAAAGCCACUGAAAUGUAUGUUGAAAUCUCCCCUGACCAUCUGGUUGCUCUGUAAAAACAGCCCCCUCCCCAUCCAGAAACUGUGCAGUCCUGCACAUACACACCUCAGGACUUAAGCCAAUCAGUUCAUAUGUAUACCCUUCUUUGUGCUGACCAAUCACCCCUACCCGACCUGUUCCUGCCAGUGAAUGUACUAAUCAUGGUUAAGAGUUGUUGAUUAAUUUUUCCGUGGUGUGUGAUGAUUUGUUAUGCUGUAUGUGAAGCCCCUGCCCCUUUCCAAAAAAUGUAUAUAAGCCCUGCUCAAGCUGUACUCGGGGCUCUUUGAUCUCCGCUCCUCCGAAGUGAGCUCUGAGCCCCAGCAUGCUGGACCC
rnacentral:lncRNA from 1 species